GUAUGUACAUGCCUACAUCAUUAAUGCAUCAGAUGAUGUUAGAACUUUGUAAUUAAGUGAGGUUGUGCUAGAGUAGUACUGGGAUGGCUGGUAACCUCCCGUGAAGUCCUAGUGUUUUACACACC
rfam:Picea glauca, whole genome shotgun sequence.